GCACUCCCGCCUCCUCCAGUCCGCACUCCCUCCUGUGGUGCCCAGACCCUCUGCCCCCUGUCCCUGCCUGCCUCCUGUAGGUGGACUGGUGGACCCCAGAGAACCUUCCAGGGGGUGCGAGUCCCUUCCAUUCCUGGGACCAUGCUGUCACAAGUCCAGCAGGUUUCCAUCUUGGUCGCCGUUAGGCGCGUGCAUGGGAGUGGCAGGUAAGAGCUGCCCACGCGAGCCCAGGGGCGGUCCAAACACUGCCGAGGACCCCAGAAGGCAGGCUCUGAGCCCUGAAGCCAGGCCUAGUAUUUUGCCCUGAUCGCGCCCCCAUCACCAAAAUUAAUAAUCCCUUCUGUGCUCUGGGGGCUGUGUUGGUGCUGGGGGAUAGCGUGACAAUGCAUAUUAAUGUCAGGCCAUGGCUAUGGAGCUGGGCAUCUACGGGCUGUACACAUCUUUAAUGUAAACUUCCCAGCAACCCUAUGAGUCAGCUACUAUUUGGUUCCCAUUUUACAGAUGAGGAAACUAAGGCAUGGAGAGGUAAGUGAGUUGACUAAGGUGGUACAAGAGGUGGACCCCAAGUUCAAGUGCCCCCACUGUGAGCUGCCUGCUGCCCACUCCUCUUCCACCUUCCGAAAGGCUCUCUGCCUUGGUCCACUCUCACCAGUGUCACGUGCCACGUUCUUUCCAGGCAGGGUGUUCUUAUUUCUAAUCCUUAAUCUUAAGCCCACUUCUGCUGGUUCUGCCCUCCCGAGGUUAUCUUUGUUCAUGGUCCCACGUGAAUGGGGAAGGACACCUUCCUCUUCCUGGCUCCGCCCGUUUCUCCAGGCCCACUGCCACUGUCCCCACCUUGGGACAGACCCUCAUCAUUUCCACCAGCCCCCUCCCCUAGGCUCCCCUGUCUCUCUCCCUCCGGUCUGUCCUUAGAGCUGUGGCAAUGAGUGCUUGUCCCAAAAUGGGGAUCUGACCACAGCAUCCAUUCCCUGGGAGCCCCUCCUGGCUCCACAUCGGCUGGGGGAUAAAAUCUGGACUCUGGAGUGUGAGGUCCAGAGUCCCUCCUGUGUGGCCCCUCCCUCCUCAGGGCUCCAGCUCUUGCCCCACCUGCACAGGCCCCUCUAUCAGCACUUCCCAGAAGGCCAGUCCCCUGGAGGGUCUGGCCCUUGAUAAAGUGUUCAGCAGUCAGCAAUAAAGCAAGAAAAUCAAAGGACAGUGAGAUACAGAAAAUCGAUCAGGACACAUCGGCCAAGUUACCAGCUGCCCUAUCUUGGUCACAGUAUCUUAUAUUCUAAGUGUUCUAUCUUUUAUUUUUUAAUAGUUAAAAUACUUCUCUCAUAAAGCAGUGCU
rnacentral:lncRNA from 1 species